rnacentral:rRNA from 1 species
AGUGAACGCUGGCGGCGUGCCUAACACAUGCAAGUCGAACGAGUGGCACGCGGGUGUGUAAUGUAUAGAUAAUCUGCCCUGCACUAGAGGACAACAGUUGGGAACGACUGCUAAUACUCUCUAGUGUAGGCUGAGGCUAUAUUGUAUCAGCUAGUUGGUGAGGUAAUGGCGCACUAAGGCUAUGACGCAUAACUGGUCUGAGAGGAUGAUCAGUCGCACUCGAACUGAGGCACGGUCCAGAAUCCUACGGGAGGGAGCAGUAGGGAAUAUUGCUCAAUGGGCGUAUCCCUGAAGCAGCUACGGCGCGUGGAGCAUUACACUUUUGGGAGCGUAAACUCCUGUUGUUAGCGAGGCGGUACCUAACGAAUAAGCACCGGCUAACUCCGUGCCAGCAGCCGCGGUAAUUC